UACGUAGGGGGCAAGCGUUGUCCGGAAUCAUUGGGCGUAAAGAGCGCGUAGGCGGCCCGAUAAGUCCGCUGUGAAAGUCAAGGGCUCAACCCUUGAAUGCCGGUGGAUACUGUCGGGCUAGAGUCCGGAAGAGGCGAGUGGAAUUCCUGGUGUCGCGGUGAAAUGCGCAGAUAUCAGGAGGAACACCGGUGGCGAAGGCGGGUCUCUGGGCCGAAACUGACGCUGAGGAGCGAAAGCGUGGGGAGCGAACAGG
rnacentral:rRNA from 1 species